AUAAUGGUUUCUUUAGAAACCAUCCUUUGUGUUAUCACAUGUAGU
rfam:Picea glauca, whole genome shotgun sequence.